rnacentral:rRNA from 1 species
UGGGGAAUAUUGCACAAUGGGCGAAAGCCUGAUGCAGCGACGCCGCGUGAGGGAUGACGGCCUUCGGGUUGUAAACCUCUUUCGACAGGGACGAAGCGCAAGUGACGGUACCUGUAGAAGAAGCACCGGCCAACUACGCGCCAGCAGCCGCGGUAAUACGUAGGGUGCGAGCGUUGUCCGGAAUUACUGGGCGUAAAGAGCUUGUAGGCGGUUCGUCGCGUCGAUCGUGAAAACUUGCAGCUCAACUGCAAGCUUGCAGUCGAUACGGGCGGACUAGAGUACUUCAGGGGAGACUGGAAUUCCUGGUGUAGCGGUGAAAUGCGCAGAUAUCAGGAGGAACACCGGUGGCGAAGGCGGGUCUCUGUGAAGUAACUGACGCUGAGAAGCGAAAGCGUGGGUAGCGAAC